rnacentral:sRNA from 1 species
GGAUACAGGGGUGAUCUGGCUGUCAGUCCCUUGACCUCCAGGAUUGAUUUGACCAGUCAGGCUGGAUAAACAGGUGUUUCUUUCUUCUCUGUUACCCAUUUAUGACUCCAGAAUCUAUGUGCUUGACUGUAAAGGAUGAGCUUACAGGUACAGGAGGACUGCUUUUUCACUAAAGGUAUAUGAAUACCAUACUUCUCGCCCAGAGAACUUACAGUUCAACAGAAAGAAGGAUCACAGCUGACUGGGGAUUUUGUGU